rnacentral:rRNA from 1 species
UACGUAGGGUGCAAGCGUUAAUCGGAAUUACUGGGCGUAAAGCGUGCGCAGGCGGUUUUGUAAGUCUGACGUGAAAUCCCCGGGCUCAACCUGGGAAUUGCGUUGGAGACUGCAAGGCUGGAGUCUGGCAGAGGGGGGUAGAAUUCCACGUGUAGCAGUGAAAUGCGUAGAGAUGUGGAGGAACACCGAUGGCGAAGGCAGCCCCCUGGGUCAAGACUGACGCUCAUGCACGAAAGUGUGGGGAGCGAACAGG